rnacentral:rRNA from 1 species
UACAGAGGUCCCAAGCGUUGUUCGGAUUCACUGGGCGUAAAGGGUGCGUAGGUGGCUGGGUCAGUCUGACGUGAAAUCUCCGGGCUUAACCCGGAAAUGGCGUUGGAAACUACCUUGCUUGAGGGUUGGAGGGGGGACUGGAAUACUUGGUGUAGCAGUGAAAUGCGUAGAUAUCGAGUGGAACACCAGUGGCGAAGGCGAGUCCCUGGACAACUCCUGACACUGAGGCACGAAAGCUAGGGGAGCAAACGGG